rnacentral:rRNA from 1 species
UACGAAGGGUGCUAGCGUUACUCGGAAUCACUGGGCGUAAAGGGCGCGUAGGCGGUUCGAUAAGUUGGGAGUGAAAUCCCGGGGCUCAACUCCGGAAUUGCUUUCAAAACUAUCGAUCUAGAGAAUGGUAGAGGAUGGUGGAAUUCCCAGUGUAGAGGUGAAAUUCGUAGAUAUUGGGAGGAACACCGGUGGCGAAGGCGGCCAUCUGGGCCAUUUCUGACGCUGAGGCGCGAAAGCGUGGGGAGCAAACAGG